GGGGUUGUAGCUCAGUGGUAGAGUGCUUGCCUAGCAUGUGUGAGGCCCUGGGUUUGAUUCCCAACACCG
rnacentral:tRNA from 1 species